AUUUAAACCGAGGCGCGAGCCGGAGAGCUUCCUCCAACUGCCGGCUUCUGCCUUUCUUGGUCUCUCUCGCUGGGGCUUGGCUCCCUCGGCCGCUGCGGGCAGAGCUGCUGCCCCAACCCCCGAGCUACAGCGGAGAGCAGAUCUGGGGGCGCCCUUAUAGCCGCUCUGCCGCUGCCACGGGAGGGAGAGCCGCCUAUUGGAGCCAUCAUUACACCCCCUUCUACUCUUAGGUUGCCCAGCUGUGUGAGUGAAGGGCAAGGGGCUGCUUCGUGGCUCUGCGCAGCCACUGGGACCUUUCCUCAGACCUAAGAGUGUGUGUGUGUGUGUGUGUGUGUGUGUGUCUGUCUGUGUGUCCGUGUGUCCCGCCUUCCCUGCAUCCCAUAUAGUCCAUUUGCUCCAUUUCCUCGCUUGGCCUCCUGGGCGCCUGUCGGUCUUUGCUUGCUUUGGGAGAGCGAAGUGGGUUAAUUUCGCGGAGCUUUAUUGGGGGGGGGGCAGUUGAUUUCCUUUCCUGACAGUUAACCCUUUCUUCGCCCACCGGCUUUUGCUGUGUUAUUCUGCCGGCUGCAGGGCUUCCUCAUAGCGAGCUUCCCUUCCUUUCCUGACAGUUAACCCAUUGGUGUUAGCCGCUCUGGGCGAGGUAUAAAUAAUUGUUUUUAUUAUUAUUUCUUCGCCCACCGGCUUCUGCUGUCCUGAGGCGUCCGUGUUGUUUUUGGCCACGUGGGUUUCAUUACAAGCUCUGUUUACGGUUUACCGUUUACGGUUAACGGUUACGGCGGCCAUUUUUGAAGUGGGCAAACGACCUAUAUUCUACAGUUCUGCGAAGCUUGGCUGUGGGCCGCCAUUUGGUCGCACUCCUGAUCCGAGGGCGACCCAUCAAAGUCUGCUAAACACGUAGUCGCAUUCAGCUGCAGCACUAGUAGCAGCCGUGUUAAAACUGCCUUUUGGCUCGGUUUUCUUGUACUUAAGGCCUUGGGCUCGGGGUAAAUUUUGCGCCGGUGUGCGGGAUUGUCGGGUCUUCUUGCUGCAUUGGCCCCUAGUGAGCCGCUUCCAUUAUAAGUAAAUGUGUGCUGAAGUUGAUUUAUUUACUUAAUUUUGAUUAAAUAUCACUUGUUCUUUUUAUUUUUACACAAUUAAAAUUGAUUUCCAGAAUUUUGAUUCUAAGUGAAGCUUUAAAGCAUAAUUAAUACUAAUAUAAACAAUAAAUUUGAAAUAAAAAUACAAGAAAGAAAUACAUGUAAGUCUGCGCUUCACUGCAUUGUCCCUCUGUAUUUGAAUCUGGUUACUUUGCUUAUGUGGUUAGCACCAAUCACGUUUUGGGUUGCUGUUUUGUUUGGGUGUUUUGCAUUCAGUACAGAGGAAUCUUUUUAGUGGUGCAGCAAGAAAACUGCUGGCACACUUGCAAAGCUAAGCAGCGCCCUGGAUGGUUUCAAGUUGGAUGGGGCACCACAUUUGGUCUUCAGACCUGAUUUAGAGGAUGUAAUUGAAGGUUAACUAUACAACAGCUGGUUCAUUUUAUCACUUGGGUUCCUUGGGUGGGCUCACUUUAUCAGGCUGCGGUGUGUUUAAGAAGAGUUUAGUGGAUCAAAACACCUCAGCUUAGUUAAAUCACUUAGAAUUUUUAUUGCUUAAUUUGGUCUAGCACUAAUUACUGUUACAGGCACUCAGGAUAUUUGGCAGUUGAAUCAUUUGAAGAUUGCUUCAGUUCAUAUUGUAACUGCCUGGUCAAUAAUUCUGAGCCAAGCUUGCCUGCGCAUCUGGUUCUGAACCAAUCAGGGCAACAGGUUUUUUCUGUGGUAGUUCUAGAACUGUGAUUGGGGUUGUCUCAUGGCUCCCAAGAAGAACCAGGCAUCCGCUGCUGCCGGCACUGGGUCGAAAUGUGCUCCAGCUACCAGGGCCCGGUCCCAGUCAGCCCAGUAAGGAAGGGGUUCCUCACUUGCAGGGCAGGCAGUAGGGCCAUUGGAGUCAGCAUUGGCAGGUAUGGCAAAAGACCCACGGGUGAUGCGCCAGUUUUUUGCUGAAUUGGAUACCUUGAUGCAGCAGUUUAGGCCUGAGGACGUGAGCCAAGAUGCAGACCCUGAGUCUACCCCGAUUUUAUUCCUGACACUGCAGCCAGUGCUUCCAGUGGGUCUCAGACCAGUGAUGAGUCUGAGGAGCUGCCUGGUACGUCCCAGGCUCCCUCUAUUUAGUGAUAUGCAGCUUUCCGGCUCGGCAUCUCAGCCUACGUCUUCUGCACCCAAGCCCAGAGUAACAUGCCCUUCACUGCAUCGCACCCGCGUCACACGAGAGUCUUCUCAUGCUCAGCACGGGGCGGCAGCACAGUCAUGGCGCACAGGCGCUAGGGUCACCUGAUCCACAGGCAAGACGGCUUCUCCUUCCCAAUCGUCCUCUGGGUGGCAACCCUCUUUUAACAUCGCUCUUGACUCAUUUCCUCGAUCUUCCCUCCCUCCCUCCCUCCCUAUUUUCAGGUUUCGAAUUUGGCCUUGCUAUGGACCUCGGUUAGUCACCGUUGAGGGGCCUGGUAGGAAUUUUUCCACUUGGCAAAUUGGCACGGGCCAUUUGGUUUUCGCCUACCUCGUAGUAAUCGUCACAACUUUGUAAGGUUUGGCGGUUAGGCAUUGGUUGAUCUUAUGAUGGAGGAGGGGAGGUGUGGCCAUCACCUGCCCCUUCAAUCUUAAAGGUAUUCCGUUAAAGGAAUCCGGGGGUGUGGACCUUGUCUGAAGUCCAGGACUAGGCUCACCCUACAGAAAAAUAGGAAUACCUAUUUAUCGUGUUUCCAAAGGUGCUGUGCACCCGGGGUUGGGGCUAGCCACCUGCAGGGGCAGCGCCAGAAGUGAGCAGUUAGCGUCCCAGGGGGGUGCUGCCCGCGGCGAACAUUUCGCUUCUGCGUCACCGCGGAGCGCAACCCGAAAGUGCUCAGCCUGAAGCAACUUCAACCCGAGGUAUGACUGUACUUAACUUGAGGCUCAUGCCUCAAGUUUAUUAAAAAUCUUUGCAUCCUAUAUCUACUCAAGUAUUUUUAAGUCCCCUUCAGCAGAUGUAGACCAAGUCUGAUGCAUCAUAAAGGCUACAAUCCUACAUACACUUAGCUGGGAAUAGGUCCUUUUGAACCAAUUUGGGUUUACUCCAGAGUAGAUAAGCAUAGGGUUGCAUUGGAAAUCCCUCUGUUGACACUUUUUAUUUCAAAAAUAUCUUUUUAAUUUUGCAGGCUUGCCACGUGACCUCCAAAAACAGACUCACCGUUAUGAGAAAGCACAUCAAAUCUAGCCUUGAAACAGAGGCCUCCUUGCACGAUAGUUUGGUUGUACCUGCCAAUCUGAAAGCAAGCAAACAUAGACACUGAACUUUCUAAGUUGCCAGAACACCUGCCAUCAAAGUUGCAUCUGCACCUGCAUCACACAAGUUGUCAACAAAGUUGCAUCUGCCAAGGUCUCUCCCCAAUUCUCCUUGCUUCAUGAUCCACCAUUUACUGACAGAAGAUUGGUAAGCAAUUGAUCAUGGAUUGUUAAAAAACAAAAAAAACAUAAACACCACCCUACAUAGCAAGCUCCACAGCAUGUUUCCCCCAUAAGGUCACCUUGUCUGUUACCUUUGCAGGGAGAAUUGCUCCUCCAGUAGUGUCUGGAAUGCAGGCAGACAAGAUGCAUAGAGAGACUUCUCACACCAGUAAGUCGGAACGCUAGGAGGGGAAGUAGGCACCAAAUCCAGCCGACCUAGACACACACCAGUGAUGCAUCAAGUGAGCAUCUUCCCAGCAACAGCACAUUGCCGUGGUGCUUGAAAUGGUCCUUUGGUGCAAUGGUGGAGUUAAAAUUCAAGCUCAGCCACUGAUGUCACCCUCCUCCCAUGCUAAUACUUUGGCUUAAGAAAAGGGAGCCAGUCAUUAUUUGGGCAAUGUGGGAUAGAGAGGGAUAGCGAGACAGAGGGAUAGCAGUUGCAUUGGAAGAAAGCAUGGACACCGCAGGGGCUUGAAUUCCGUCCUGGGAACCAGGAGUACCAACCACCAGUGUCUUUUGCUUUUUUUUUUUUUUUUUUUUUUUGAGUAAUGCAACAAGGGGAAAAGCAAAACCUGAGAGAACAUUCACAGGGGAAAAUAAAACCUUAAGAUGUUAAGAAGAGCUCUUUGGAGAGAACUGUGGAGAGAGCAACAGAAAAGAAAAUGGGAAAAAGGAGACACCAAUACAAAAAACAUGUUGUUGGAAAAAGACCACUGAGUGGUGGAAUGUGAACUUACCUAAAGCAGCACAGCCCAAAUGCAGGUGACUCUCACUUCAGUUACAGUGAACUCUGGGAAGCCUGAAGGAAAGAGGAGCUGGAACAAAGGAAGAAGUCUUCUCCUACCUGCAGGUGAGCUUCAUGGUGGUGAUGCAGAAUAGGGCCACUUCUGACAACUCAGUCACCGCAACCCGAUAAGAGUUUUGGCACAAUGAGUUGCAGACGGAACACAGUAGAGAUUUUCUCCCUAGCCAAGAAAGGCAUACUCUGGGAAGCCUGAAGGAAAGAAGAGAUGGAACAAUAGAAGAAGUGUUCUCCUACCUGCAGGUGAACCUUUUCUUACCACCAUGACUUCUGGGAUGCAGCUGGAAGAGCUGGCUUCAUUUGAGGGUUGGGAGCUCUUUGGAGAUACCUGUGAAGAGACCACCAGAAAAGAAAACGGGGGAAAGGAGAGACCAAUACAAAAAACAUUGUCUUGAAGAAAGACCACUGAGUGGUGGAAUGUGAACUUACCUAAAGCAGCACAGUCCAAAUUGUGAACUCUUGGAAACUUGAAGAGCUGCAACAAAAGAAGUGUUCUCCUACCUGCAGGUGAGCCUCAUUGUGGUGACAUGGAAUAGGGCAUUUUCUGACAACUCAGUCACCUCAACCUGAAAGAGUCUUAGCACAAUGAGUUGCAGACGGAACACAAUAGAGAUUUUCUCCCUAGCCAAGCAAGGCAUACUCUGGGAAGCCUGAAGGAAAGAAGAGAUGGAACAAAAGAAGGGUUCUACCUGCAGGUGACCCUUUUCUUACCACCAUGACUUCUGGGACUCAGCUGGAAGGGCUGGCUUCAUUUGAAGGUUGGGAGUUGUUUGGAGAUACCUGUGAAGAGACCACCAGAAAAGAAAACGGGUAAAAGGAGAGACCAAUACAAAAAACAUGUUCUUGGGGAAAAAAGACCACUGAGUGGUGGAAUGUGAACUUACCUAAAGCAGCACAGUCCAAAUGCAGGUGACUCUCACUUCAGGUACAGUGAACUCUGGGAAGCCUGAAGGAAAGAAGAGAUGGAACAAAAGAAGUCGUCUCCUACCUGCAGGUGAACCUCAUUUUGGUGACACAGAAUAGGGCUUCUUCUGAAAACUCAGUCACCGCAACCUGAAAGAGUCUUUGCACAAUGAGUUGCAGACCGAACACUAUAAGAGACUUUCUCCCUAGCCUAGGAAGGCAUACUCACCUAAAUGUCCUUCAGUCAUGGAAUGCCAUUUUGACUGCCAUUUUUAUUUGAAGCUGGAUGAGCCUUUGAUCUAGAGGGGCACAACAGAGAGAUGAGAUUCAGACUUAAAUCUCUGCCGUUAAGCUUGGUAUGAAAGAAGGAAGACUGUUCACCCUUUUGUUUGUCCAUCUGAGGGUGACAUUGUGUCCUGCAGAUCCUAUUCUUGGUCUGCGAUCUAGAGUCGCUAGUUUCUCCCCAGCCACCUUUCACCAAUCCUACAGAAAAUGAAUUUCAAAAAAACAAACAGCUUUUCUUACCACCAUGAUUUCUGGGACUCUGCUGGAGGAGCUGGCUUCAUUUGAGGGUUGCGAGCUAUUUGGAGAGACCUUCGAAGACACCACCACAAACAAAAAUGGGAAAAAGGAGAGACCGAUACAAAAAAAAUUGUCUUGAGAAAAGGCCACUGAGUGGUAGAAUGUGAACUUACCUAAAGCAGCGCAGCCCAAAUGCAGGUGACUCUCACUUCAGGUACAGUGAACUCUGGGAAGUGUGAAGGAAAGAGGAGCUGGAGCAAAAGGAGUGUUCUACCUGCAGAUGAGCCUCGUGGUGACACAGAAUAGGGCUUCUUCUGGCGAUUCAGUCCCCGCAACCUGAAAGAGUCUUAGCACAAAGAGUCGCAGAUGGAACACAAUAGAGAUUUCCUCUCUAGCCCGAGAUCCAGAAACCCUAGUUUGUCCUACCAGCAGGUGAACCUCAUUGUGGUAACACAGAAUAGGACCUACUCUGUAGUGGCACCCUGAUGGCAGAAGUUCCUUCGAUUGGAAGCACAGAAGAUGACCACAUUGGUUUUUCAAGUUCUCUUCUCUUCUGAAAAGAAAUGAAUAAAUGAACAAGAUUGCUCAAUACAGGCCCCGUGGGAACCUUCGUUUGUAUUUUAUGUGUUACUACAUUUAUAUCCUACCUUUCGUCCAAUGAGCUGAAGGUGGUGUGAUGGUUGUAUCGUGACCAAAAAGAGCCUUAGCAGAAAGAGCUGCGGAUGGAACACAAUAUAAAUUUUCUUUUCAGCGAAGCAAGAGAUGCUCGCCUAGAUGCCAUUUAUUCAGAAUGCAUCUGUAUUGUUCCUAUCAUUAUGAUCUAGCAUUCAGACAUCACUUGUUAGGUAUUUGUGUGUGUUGCCACCUCUGAAAAGUCAAGAUUAUUUGAUAGUUACCUUCCUUCAACAAGUGAGAUGUUAAAGGCAAAACAAGCAAUUAGUUAGAUCUAGUUUUUAAAUCGUUAUUUUAAAAGUAUCACCUUGAAAACAGAAGUACUGGAGAUGAUCCAAGGUUUAAUAUUAUAGAGUCAAUGCUGUGUGAGCUAUGAACUAAAUAGCUUUUCCUAGAAGUUGCUUAGCAAAAAUAAAACAAUUUUUAAA
rnacentral:lncRNA from 1 species